UACGUAGGGGGCAAGCGUUGUCCGGAUUUAUUGGGCGUAAAGAGCGUGUAGGCGGUCAGAUAGGUCCGUUGUGAAAACUCGAGGCUCAACCUCGAGACGCCGAUGGAAACCAUCUGACUAGAGUCCGGAAGAGGAGAGUGGAAUUCCUGGUGUAGCGGUGAAAUGCGCAGAUAUCGGGAAGAACACCCGUGGCGAAGGCGGUUCUCUGGGACGGUACUGACGCUGAGACGCGAAAGCGUGGGGAGCGAACAGG
rnacentral:rRNA from 1 species